GUAGGUGGCAAGCGUUGUCCGGAAUUAUUGGGCGUAAAGCGCGCGCAGGCGGUUCUUUAAGUCUGAUGUGAAAGCCCACGGCUCAACCGUGGAGGGUCAUUGGAAACUGGAGAACUUGAGUACAGAAGAGGAAAGCGGAAUUCCACGUGUAGCGGUGAAAUGCGUAGAGAUGUGGAGGAACACCAGUGGCGAAGGCGGCUUUCUGGUCUGUAACUGACGCUGAGGCGCGAAAGCGUGGGGAGCAAACAGGGAUUAGAUACCCUGGUAGUCCACGCCGUAAACGAUGAGUGCUAAGUAUUAGGGGGUUUCCCGCCCCUUAGUGCUGCAGCUAACGCAUUAAGCACUCCCGCCUGGGGAGUACGCCGCAAGGCUG
rnacentral:rRNA from 1 species